rnacentral:rRNA from 2 species
CAGGAUCCUGAGUACGGCGGAACACGUGAAAUUCCGUCGGAAUCCGGGAGGACCAUCUCCCAAGGCUAAAUACUCCCUAGUGACCGAUAGUGAACCAGUACCGUGAGGGAAAGGUGAAAAGCACCCCGGAAGGGGAGUGAAACAGUUCCUGAAACCGUGUGCCUACAAUUAGUCAAAGCCCGUUAAUGGGUAAUGGCGUGCCUUUUGUAGAAUGAACCGGCGAGUUACGUUUGCUUGCGAGGUUAAGAUGAAAAGUCGGAGCCGUAGCGAAAGCGAGUCUGAACAGGGCGAAUGAGUAAGCAGAUGUAGACCCGAAACCAAGUGACCUACCCAUGACCAGGUUGAAGGUGUGGUGAAACACACUGGAGGACCGAACCCAUGUAUGUUGAAAAAUGCUGGGAUGAGUUGUGGGUAGCGGUGAAAUUCCAAACGAACUUGGAGAUAGCUGGUUCUCUCCGAAAUAGCUUUAGGGUUAGCCUCGGAGGAUGGAUCAUGGAGGUAGAGCACUGUUUGAACUAGGGGCCCAUCAAGGGUUACUGAAUUCAGAUAAACUCCGAAUACCAUCGAUCUUACUCCGGGAGUCAGACAGUGAGCGAUAAGGUCCAUUGUCGAAAGGGGAACAGCCCAGAUCACCAGUUAAGGUCCCUAAAUUUAUGCUAAGUGGAAAAGGAUGUGGCGUUGCACAGACAACUAGGAUGUUGGCUCAGAAGCAGCCACCAUUUAAAGAGUGCGUAAUAGCUCACUAGUCGAGUGGCACUGCGCCGAAAAUAUACCGGGGCUAAGCAUAAUACCGAAACUGUGGGUGCACCCGUAAGGGUGCGCGGUAGGAGAGCGUUCUAAGGGCGUUGAAGGUCGAUCGUGAGGACGGCUGGAGCGCUUAGAAGUGAGAAUGCCGGCAUGAGUAGCGAAAGAUCAGUGAGAAUCUGAUCCACCGUAUGACUAAGGCUUCCUGGGGAAGGCUCGUCCUCCCAGGGUUAGUCGGGAUCUAAGGCGAGGCCGAGAGGCGUAGUCGAUGACAAGCAGGUUGAGAUUCCUGCACUAGUUUAUUUUGUUUAAGCGAUGGAGGGACGCAGGAGGCUAAGGAAAGCGCACGGCUGGAAAUGUGCGCCCAAGCAGCAAGUCUGACAGCGAGUGAAAUGCUUGCAGUCUUAAGGACAAGCUGUGAUGGGGAGCGAAAUUAUAGUAGCGAAGUUCCUGAUGUCACACUGCCAAGAAAAGCUUCUAGUGAGAAAUAAACUACCCGUACCGCAAACCGACACAGGUAGUCGAGGAGAGUAUCCUCAGGUGAGCGAGCGAACUCUCGUUAAGGAACUCGGCAAAAUGACCCCGUAACUUCGGAAGAAGGGGUGCUGACCGCAAGGUCAGCCGCAGUGAAUAGGCCCAAACAACUGUUUAUCAAAAACACAGGUCUCUGCUAAAUCGUAAGAUGAUGUAUAGGGGCUGACGCCUGCCCGGUGCUGGAAGGUUAAGAGGAUGAGUUAGCGCAAGCGAAGCCCAGAAUUGAAGCCCCAGUAAACGGCGGCCGUAACUAUAACGGUCCUAAGGUAGCGAAAUUCCUUGUCGGGUAAGUUCCGACCCGCACGAAAGGCGUAAUGAUUUGGGCACUGUCUCAACGAGAGACUCGGUGAAAUUAUAGUACCCGUGAAGAUGCGGGUUACCCGCGACAGGACGGAAAGACCCCAUGGAGCUUUACUGUAGCUUGAUAUUGAGUGUUUGUACCGCUUGUACAGGAUAGGUAGGAGCCGUAGAGAUCGGAACGCUAGUUUCGAUGGAGGCGUUGGUGGGAUACUACCCUAGCUGUAUGAACACUCUAACCCGCGCCACUAAUCGUGGCGGGAGACAGUGUCAGGUAGGCAGUUUGACUGGGGCGGUCGCCUCCUAAAAUGUAACGGAGGCGCCCAAAGGUUCCCUCAGAAUGGUUGGAAAUCAUUCGCAGAGUGUAAAGGUAUAAGGGAGCUUGACUGCGAGACUGACAAGUCGAGCAGGGACGAAAGUCGGGCUUAGUGAUCCGGUGGUUCCGUAUGGAAGGGCCAUCGCUCAACGGAUAAAAGCUACCCUGGGGAUAACAGGCUUAUCUCCCCCAAGAGUCCACAUCGACGGGGAGGUUUGGCACCUCGAUGUCGGCUCAUCGCAUCCUGGGGCUGUAGUCGGUCCCAAGGGUUGGGCUGUUCGCCCAUUAAAGCGGUACGCGAGCUGGGUUCAGAACGUCGUGAGACAGUUCGGUCCCUAUCCGUCGCGGGCGCAGGAAAUUUGAGAGGAGCUGUCCUUAGUACGAGAGGACCGGGAUGGACGUUCCGCUGGUGUACCAGUUGUGCCGCCAGGCGCAUCGCUGGGUAGCUAUGAACGGCAGGGAUAAACGCUGAAAGCAUCUAAGUGUGAAGCCCCCCUCGAGAUGAGAUUUCCCAUUCCUAUAUGGAAGUAAGACCCCUGAGAGAUGAUCAGGUAGAUAGGCUGGAAGUGGAAGUGCAGCGAUGCAUGGAGCGGACCAGUACUAAUCGGUCGAGGACUUAACCAA